GCAGCAGCCGCGGUAACACGUAGGUGGCAAGCGUUGUCCGGAAUUAUUGGGCGUAAAGGGCUCGCAGGCGGUUUCUUAAGUCUGAUGUGAAAGCCCCCGGCUCAACCGGGGAGGGUCAUUGGAAACUGGGAAACUUGAGUGCAGAAGAGGAGAGUGGAAUUCCACGUGUAGCGGUGAAAUGCGUAGAGAUGUGGAGGAGCACCAGUGGCGAAGGCGACUCUCUGGUCUGUAACUGACGCUGAGGAGCGAAAGCGUGGGGAGCGAACAGGAUUAGAUACCCCAGUAGUCCCUGUCUCUUAUAC
rnacentral:rRNA from 1 species